rnacentral:lncRNA from 1 species
AAACAAAAAUGAUGGUGAAAAAUGAACACACAAGGUAGUAAAACAAAUCAAUAAAGGAGAAUUAAAGAGAAAAUAAAUAAAAUAAAAAAGAUUAAUAAAAAUUUAGAGGAUUGCGAGAGAGGUUGAAUGGUGACCGAGAGAAGAGGGUCAUAAUGACAUCGAUGUGAGCACAAAAACCUAGUAACAGUAAUAUAUAUUUUUAAUAUUAGUAUGAU